ACUCCUACGGGAGGCAGCAGUGGGGAAUUUUGGACAAUGGGGGCAACCCUGAUCCAGCCAUGCCGCGUGAGUGAAGAAGGCCUUCGGGUUGUAAAGCUCUUUCGGACGGAAAGAAAUUGCCAUCUCUAACAUAGGUGGUGGAUGACGGUACCGUAAGAAGAAGCACCGGCUAACUACGUGCCAGCAGCCGCGGUAAUACGUAGGGUGCGAGCGUUAAUCGGAAUUACUGGGCGUAAAGCGUGCGCAGGCGGUCUUAUAAGACAGACGUGAAAUCCCCGGGCUUAACCUGGGAACUGCGUUUGUGACUGUGAGGCUAGAGUGCGGCAGAGGGGGGUAGAAUUCCGCGUGUAGCAGUGAAAUGCGUAGAUAUGCGGAGGAAUACCGAUGGCGAAGGCAGCCCCCUGGGUCGACACUGACGCUCAUGCACGAAAGCGUGGGGAGCAAACAGGAUUAGAUACCCUGGUAGUCCACGCCCUAAACGAUGUCAACUAGGUGUUGGGGGAGGAGACUUCCUUAGUACCGCAGCUAACGCGUGAAGUUGACCGCCUGGG
rnacentral:rRNA from 1 species